rnacentral:rRNA from 1 species
UACGGAGGGGGCUAGCGUUGUUCGGAAUUACUGGGCGUAAAGCGCACGUAGGCGGCUUUGUAAGUUAGAGGUGAAAGCCCGGGGCUCAACCCCGGAACUGCCUUUAAGACUGCAUCGCUUGAACGUCGGAGAGGUGAGUGGAAUUCCGAGUGUAGAGGUGAAAUUCGUAGAUAUUCGGAAGAACACCAGUGGCGAAGGCGGCUCACUGGACGACUGUUGACGCUGAGGUGCGAAAGCGUGGGGAGCAAACAGG